UACGGAGGGUGCAAGCGUUAUCCGGAUUCACUGGGUUUAAAGGGUGCGUAGGUGGGCAGGUAAGUCAGUGGUGAAAUCUCCGGGCUUAACCCGGAAACUGCCAUUGAUACUAUCUGUCUUGAAUACCGUGGAGGUGAGCGGAAUAUGUCAUGUAGCGGUGAAAUGCUUAGAUAUGACAUAGAACACCAAUUGCGAAGGCAGCUCACUACACGAAUAUUGACACUGAGGCGCGAAAGCGUGGGGAGCAAACAGG
rnacentral:rRNA from 1 species